CCUACGGGAGGCAGCAGUCGAGAAUCAUUCACAAUGGGGGAAACCCUGAUGGUGCGACGCCGCGUGGGGGAAUGAAGGUCUUCGGAUUGUAAACCCCUGUCAUGUGGGAGCAAAUUAAAACGAUCGUACCACACGAGGAAGAGACGGCUAACUCUGUGCCAGCAGCCGCGGUAAUACAGAGGUCUCAAGCGUUGUUCGGAAUCACUGGGCGUAAAGCGUGCGUAGGCUGUUUCGUAAGUCGUGAGUGAAAGGCGCGGGCUCAACCCGCGGACGGCACAUGAUACUGCGAGACUAGAGUAAUGGAGGGGGAACCGGAAUUCUCGGUGUAGCAGUGAAAUGCGUAGAUAUCGAGAGGAACACUCGUGGCGAAGGCGGGUUCCUGGACAUUAACUGACGCUGAGGCACGAAGGCCAGGGGAGCGAAAGGGAUUAGAUACCCCUGUAGUC
rnacentral:rRNA from 1 species